rnacentral:rRNA from 1 species
GGGAGGCAGCAGUGGGGAAUAUUGCACAAUGGGGGAAACCCUGAUGCAGCCAUGCCGGGUGUGUGAAGAAGGCCUUCGGGUUGUAAAGCACUUUCAGUUGUGAGGAAAAGUUAGUAGUUAAUACCUGCUAGGGGGUGACGUUAACAACAGAAGAAGCACCGGCUAACUCCGUGCCAGCAGCCGCGGUAAUACGGAGGGUGCGAGCGUUAAUUGGAAUUACUGGGGGUAAAGCGCACGCAGGCGGUUUGUUAAGCUAGAUGUGAAAGCCCCGGGCUCAACCUGGGAUAGUCAUUUAGAACUGGCAGACUAGAGUCUUGGAGAGGGGAGUGGAAUUUCAGGUGUAGCGGUGAAAUGGGUAGAUAUUUGGAGGAACAUCAGUGGGGAAGGGGACUCCCUGGCCAAAGACUGACGCUCAUGUGCGAAAGUGUGGGUAGCGAACAGGAUUAGAUACCCUGGUAGUCCACACCGUAAACGCUGUUUACUAGCUGUUUGUGACUUUAAGUCGUGAGUAGCGAAGCUAACGCGCUAAGUAGA